rnacentral:rRNA from 1 species
AUUGAACGCUGGCGGCAUGCCUUACACAUGCAAGUCGAACGGCAGCACGGGUGCUUGCACCUGGUGGCGAGUGGCGAACGGGUGAGUAAUACAUCGGAACAUGUCCUGUAGUGGGGAAUAGCCCGGCGAAAGCCGGAUUAAUACCGCAUACGAUCUACGGAUGAAAGCGGGGGACCUUCGGGCCUCGCGCUAUAGGGUUGGCCGAUGGCUGAUUAGCUAGUUGGUGGGGUAAAGGCCUACCAAGGCGACGAUCAGUAGCUGGUCCGAGAGGACGACCAGCCACACUGGGACUGAGACACGGCCCAGACUCCUACGGGAGGCAGCAGUGGGGAAUUUUGGACAAUGGGCGAAAGCCUGAUCCAGCAAUGCCGCGUGUGUGAAGAAGGCCUUCGGGUUGUAAAGCACUUUUGUCCGGAAAGAAAUCCUUGGCCCUAAUACGGUCGGGGGAUGACGGUACCGGAAGAAUAAGCACCGGCUAACUACGUG